rnacentral:rRNA from 1 species
CCUACGGGCGGCAGCAGUGAGGAAUAUUGGUCAAUGGCCGGAAGGCUGAACCAGCCAUGCCGCGUGAAGGUCAGUGCCCUAUGGGCGUUAAACUUCUUUUGUGCGGGAGCAAUAAUGGUCACGUGUGGCCAGACGAGAGUACCGUACGAAUAAGCAUCGGCUAACUCCGUUCCAGCAGCCGCGGUAAUACGGGGGAUGCAAGCGUUAUCCGGAUUUAUUGGGUUUAAAGGGUGCGUAGGCUGUGAGGUAAGUCAGCGGUGAAAUGCCCCCGCUCAACGGGGUGAAGUGCCAUUGAUACUGCCUGGCUGGAAUGCGGAUGCCGUGGGAGGAAUGUGUGGUGUAGCGGUGAAAUGCAUAGAUAUCACACAGAACACCGAUUGCGAAGGCAUCUCACGAAGCCGCGAUUGACGCUGAUGCACGAAAGCGUGGGUAUCAAACAGGAUUAGAUACCCGUGUAGUC